rnacentral:rRNA from 1 species
GACGAACGCUGGCGGCGUGCCUAAUACAUGCAAGUAGGACGCAGAUGCGAACGGGUGAGUAACGCGUAGGUAACUGCCUCUUAGAGGGGGAUAACUAUUGGAAACGAUAGCUAAUACCGCAUACUCGUAGAUGGACCUGCGUUGUAUUAGCUAGUAGGUAGGGUAAUGGACUACCUAGGCGACGACACAUAGCCGAGAUGAGGGAGAGUGCGGCCACACUUGGACUGGGAAACGUCCCAGACUCCGACGGGAGGCAGCAGUAGGGAAUCGUCGGCAAGUGGGGGAACCCUGACCGAGCAACGCCGCGUUAGGUAAGAAGGUUGUCGGAUCUUAAAGCUCUGUUGUUAAGGAAGCGGUACUUAACCAGAAAGGGACGGCUAACUACGUGCCAGGAGCCGCGGUAAUUC